AUCAAGCCUGGAGCUGCCAUUGGCAACUUCAUCCUGCCUCCCGGGGAGAGCCUGCAUGAGAAUGCCAGGCAGAUGUUAAAAAUGGCAUUGCAGGAAAAUAUUUAAUGAUCUGGAGAGAUGUCCAUGAUACCUCCUUGCAUUCAAAAAAAACAAGCUACAAAACAGUACAUACCCUAUUAAUUGCUAUAUCUCUGCUCAUAUCUAUUCAUGUGCAAAUAACAAAAUGGAUGAUAGAUGCCAAGAUAUUAACAGUGGUUCUCUCUGUGAACUUCGACGUCUGGGAUUUGCUUCAAAAUAACCCACUGGGGCGGGUGUCGAUGAAACAGAAUUGGAUGAGCUGAUCACUUUCGAAGCUGGGCAUUGGUACGUAGGUGAGCAUCAUACCGUUCCCACUCCUUGUGAAGACGCUCGGAAGUUUUCAUAAUAAGACAUUUUGUUAAAGCGGCAAGUAGGAACCUGGCCAGAGCUGAGGAGUGAGCCGACAACAGAUGUGAAGGUGCAGGCAGUGAGCCCCGAGACACACACAUAAGGAGCCCGGAAGCCCUCCCUGUGGCCCCACCGCCAACCACGCUCCCUCCCCACCCCUCUCCCUGUUGACUCCCAUGUCGUCCAAGAACCCUCGGCUCUGAGUAAUAAAUGUGCCUCUCGGCGGGACAUGUGUUUCCAA
rnacentral:lncRNA from 1 species